AUUGAACGCUGGCGGCAUGGCUAAAACAUGCAAGUCGAGCGCGAAAGGGGAGCAAUCCCCGAGUAGAGCGGCGAAAGGGUGAGUAAUGCAUUCCUACGUGCCCCGAGGUCAGGGACAGCUCAGGGAAACCUGAAUUAAUACCUGAUGUGGUCUGCGGAUCAAAGGCGCAAGUCGCCUCGGGAGCGGGGAAUGUCCUAUCAGCUAGUUGGUGAGGUAACGGCUCACCAAGGCUUCGACGGGUAGCGGGUGUGAGAGCAUGGCCCGCCACAUCGGGACUGAGACACUGCCCGGACUCCUACGGGAGGCUGCAGUAACGAAUCUUCCGCAAUGCGCGAAAGCGUGACGGAGCGAUGCCGCGUGCAGGAUGAAGCCCUUCGGGGUGUAAACUGCUGUCAGGGUUUAGAAAGAAACUGAUCAAACCCAAAGGAAGAGACGACUAACUCUGUGCCAGCAGUCGCGGUAAUACAGAGGUCUCGAGCGUUAGUCGGAAUCACUGGGCUUAAAGCGUACGUAGGCGGAUCUGCAGGCGUCGUGUGAAAUCCCUUGGCUCAACCAAGGAACUGCACGGCGAACCGCAGGUCUUGAGACAAGUAGGGGCGGUCGGAACGAUAGGUGGAGUGGUGAAAUGCGUUGAUAUCUAUCGGAACGCCGAAGGUGAAAACAGACCGCUGGGCUUGUUCUGACGCUGAGGUACGAAAGCGUGGGUAGCGAACGGGAUUAGAUACCCCGGUAGUCCACGCCGUAAACGAUGUGCACUAGAUCGAGGAGGUUCUGACACCGUUCUCGGUCGAAGUAAAAACGUUG
rnacentral:rRNA from 1 species